rnacentral:rRNA from 1 species
GACGAACGCUGGCGGCGUGCUUAACACAUGCAAGUCGAACGGCAAGGCCCUGCUUUCGUGGGCUGCCCGAGUGGCGAACGGGUGAGUAACACGUGAGUAACCUGCUCUUGUCUUUGGGAUAACUUAAGGAAACUGGGGCUAAUCUCGGACCGGAUACCCUCCUGCAUGGUGGGGGUUGGAAAUUUUCGGCGGUUGGGGAUGGACUAGCGGCUUACCAGUUAGCUGGUGGGGUAGUGGAUUACCGAGGCUUUGACGGGUAGCCGGCCUGGGAGGGUGACCGGCGACAUGGGGACUGAGAUACGGACCAGACUCGUACGGUAGGCAGCAGGGGGGAAUAUGGCACAAUGGGCGGAAGCCUGAGGAAGCAACGCCGCGUGCGGGAUGACGGCCUUCGGGGUGUAAACCGCUUUCGCCUAUGACGAAGCGGGAGUGACGGUAAUGGGUGAAGAAGCACCGGCUAACUACGUG